GAUUAGUCUUAAAACUAUGGGUACACGGUGUAGAGUUUUAGAAUGGGAAUGAGAACGUUAAGAGAAGAAAAACAUCUAAGUUAUUGUUACAUACAGAGAGAAAGGAAAGUGGCAGUCCUGAAGACUGGUGACAGCAAAGGUCUGUUUAUACAUUUUGUAAUUAUUGUGGCAAUGACGUCUUCUGAGCAUGUUCAGAAAAACAAUUGCCAACGAGAACUUUGGGAAAUAUAGUUACAUGUAUGAAAUGGUUUGAGAACGUUUCUGAAGGUAUGCUAUGAUGUAAGUAGAUGUGUCUGUAAACUAGCUAAUUUUUAACAGAACUUUUCCUUACAUAUUUAAAUCAUUUUGAUACUAUAAUGCAUAUAUGUGACCUGAUCCUUAUUUUGCAGCUUGGCUCACUGUCCCUAGUUAUCCAUCAUGCAUAAAAUCUCUUUAUCUGCCUUAUGUAUUCACUCUGCUUGUUUCAGCAUCAGUCUUCCUCAUCUCUAAAGCGGGUAAAUGUUUUCCGACUGCAUGAUACCCAGCCUGAACCAUAUAUUACAUCACUAUAUCUUUGAUUGGCCAUACACUCUAUGGUGGUGUUCCCUUGCUCAAGUUACGAACUCUGCAUUCCCCUUUAGUUCAAGUUUUGAUUUAUAGCUGUAGUAUGAAUCAUUAUUCUGAGGCCCUAGGCAAAAUCCAGGGUGGGGCUCCAGAAUCACUGCCAUGCCCUGCUGGGCCCCUAGCUACACAUGCCUCCCAUUCAACAGCUGUUCUCUUCCUACCUGAGAGUCCACAGCUGCAGACCUUUGACACAGAGUUCCCUUCACAAAGGAAAUGUGCCCUUUGCACAUAAGUAGAGGAACUGAACCCUAGCAGCACAUCACGUAGGUGAAGUGGAAAAGAGCACCAACAAGCAUUUUUAAAAUAAAGGGGAAAUAUUUCUUACUUUAUACAGCAAGCUUUAUACUUGGUACAUACUCCAAUCAACUUGUAGGGGUAUAUGCAGGGCCCAACCUUGCAAAAACCUCCAUCUGCAUAACACAGCUGAUAUGGGUCCACUGUUGUUUCUUUUGACUCUGUUAUUAUAAGAAAAAGAAGAGUUAACGUUUAUGGUUAGAACUGAGUAAGCCAAGAGAUGAGAGUCCAUCUUUUCCUGUUUAGGAUCUGCUAAUUUCCCAGCAAUCUUCUACUGAGCACCACUGGCUUAGAGCUGGCAUCUUCUUACCUGACAGAUCUCACAUGCUUAAAGAAGUGCAUCACUGGCAACAAUGACAAAAGCUGCAGAUGCUGUUAUGGGGAAACCUAUAUCUCUUAUCCUCCCUCCCAUACUUAGCUGCAUGUAUCAUAUGACAUAAAUGGUACACACUUAUAUCCCACUGUACAUGAACAAAGGUCCUUACCCUUUCCGUCAGUCACCGCCCCCUGUAUUCCUGUUUGUUGUGUGUGCCAGAGGGGGUAACAGCCAAUCAGGACCAAUGCAUGGAUGAAAGAACCAGAUGGGAGGGAGAAUUGAAAAAGAAAAAUCUGUUACACUGUCAGCUCUUAUCUGAGCAUUCAGAGAGAGAUACUGGAGGGAUCCAGUCUCAGAGCCUACUUUAAGAAUAAGCAGGCUAAAACAGUGAAUGUUUUCAGAUAGAGUUUGUGCCUCUGGAUAACUAUGAGGAAAGAAUUCCUUUCUCAGAUUGUCUCAGAGCUAGCCUUGCCAGGUGCUCGCUAAUAGCAGGCAAUCUCUUGGCGAUUCAUGCCCCUGCCCACCAAUUACCAGCAGAUUGGGAGGGAGGAAAAAUUGGUGGGCUCAGGAGAAGGCAGGCUGGGGAAAUGGGCAUGCAUGGUAUCCAUGGGCAUGCAUGAACCCACGUCCCUGGCUGAUGACCUCUCUUCCAGUGCAACCCUGAAGCAAAGAUGUCAGAUCAGAGCCAGUUCUUUAACAAUUGGGCCAGUUCUAUAACGAUUGGCCCCAAGCAUAGUUUGGGGCCAAUCGUUAUAGAACUGGCCCUAGUGUGAUGCCUUCCUUUCCAGAUUGCACUAGAAGAAAUGUCAUUGGCCAGGGACAUUGGCAAGCAUGUGUGCUGGUGUGCAUCUGCCGCCGUCUCACCCCACCUCCUCCCACCAGUUGCCAGGGGGACCUGGCAGCCCUACGUAGAGCCUGAAGUAUACUGUCAUAGAUCAGAGGAGUUAGCCGUGUUAAUCUGUAGUUUCAAAAUAGUAAAAUAGAUGCAAAAUAGAUGCAUCUGUCUGUAGAUGCUAAAUAGAUGCAUCUAAUGCAGAGAGCUGUGGUUCUUGAAAGCUUAUGCUACAAUAGUCUUAAAGGUGCUGCUGGAGCCUUUACUAUAAAGUAUACUGGUGUCAAUGAUAACUCCAAAGAGGAUUCUGUGCUGUUAAGUCUAGUUUUCAGGAGUAGCAGGCUAAGUUAUGGAAUUUCCAGAAAGAGCUCACACGCAUUCCUUAGAUUGGGGAAAGGCCAAAGAUUUAAUUCAGGAAUCAAAGCUCAGCUGAUAAUUGUGGCCUGCACUCCUAUCUUGCUAACUGAAAGGUUACCACUUUGUAGGCCCAGCAAAUGUUGUGUGUUGUAAUUUUUUAUAGGUUCAAGCCUAUUUGAACAACCUUAUUCCAUCAACAAAAGUUGACAAAAGUUGUUUUUCCCUGUUUACCUCAAGCCUCAUUUGGGAAUUACUACUUUCAGAAGCCACAUAGGGCCUGUCUGUCAGGUAGAGGUUGGGUUACAGACCUCACUGGUCAAAUCACCUCUUUUGAAACAGCAUAAACUUUGACUUUCACAUCAUGCCUAUCUUAUUUGUGCAUUCAUAGUAAGAGCGUUAGUUUCAAAGAGUAGAAAGAUGGAAUAUUUGCUAGACAAUAGAAAGAUCCUCAACACUGACAGAGUUACAUUUCCCCAUUUGUACAAAGCACCUGGGAAGAUUAGAGGCAGUGGCCAUUUUCACACAUCCUUAUAGGCAUGGCCCACCCAUGGAACUCUGGCGGCUUUUCCUCAGGAUUCCUCAUGUCUACAUUUGCAACUCUAUUCAUAUUGUAUAUUCUGGAAUCAGCAGCUUGGCAGAAGCCCCCUAUUGUGGUCUGAGGUUACUAGAUUUUACAAUGUGUAUAGACAGGGUUACCACUCCCCAGGUGGGAUCAGGGAUUCCCCCACUCCCAGUUUCCAUUCUCCUCCUACCUCUCACCUGGCCUGUGGGGGGAAAGGCCCAGGAAUGGGCCAAGAAAUUCCCAUAGUAUUCCCAUGUGAUCUGAAACACUUCUGCAUUGUGCUGGGAAUGACAUCAUUCCCAGAGUGACUUGGAAGAGAUGGGUCAUGCCAGGGGCCUAUUUGGUAAAAAUCAGCCCCCAAUCUAGCAUCAGGCAGGAGGACUUUCCUACCUCCCCCCCUCCCAGCUGUAGCAUCCCAUUCAACCCCAUCAUGUCAGUGGACCCAAACAGCAAAGGCAGUGAAACGGAGGUCUGCUCUGCAGUAGAAGGGGUGAAUCAGCAGAAAUCACUGCUCCUCUCUUCCACAAACAGAACUGCCAUUCCAUUAGAGGAACUAUAUGGUUGGAUGCAUCUUUUUAUUUCAACUAAGACCAACCAUAUUAUCACAAAAUAGUGGAAGUAAAAUACCGCAGUAUUUUAUGUUUGUUCACUUGUUCCUAAUAAAAAAGUGUUACACUACUGUUGUUUCCCCACUCACACCAUGAACCAACCGAGUGAUCUACAUUUUUGUUUUAUGUAUUUAUUUAAAAUAUUUUUAUGCCCACCAUUUUUUUAGCACAGUAGGAACCCAAACAGCUAACAAUAAUGGCAAACAACAAUCCUAAAACAGCUUUUAGAUAAGGAAUCAGUGUCCAGCAAAACCCUAAUCCCAAGGUAAUCAUAACAUAUUUGUCCAAACCUUAACCUUGCCAGGUUCCCGCCAAUGGUGGGCAAGUUCUUGGAGAUUACAGGAACUGCCUGCAGAUUGCUAGUGAUUUGUGGGAGGAAGCAGGCCACCCAGGGAUUGCCCAGCAUUGGCAAGAACCUAGCAAGCAAGAUGAGGGAAAUGGGCAUGAACACCCCUGCAUCCCCUGUCCAAUGACAUCACUUCUGGUAUGACUCGGAAGUAGAGAUGGGCACGAACAGCAAUAUGAACAAAAAAAAGCCACAAACAGCCCAAUCUGCUGUUUGCGAACAAGCUGUUCAUGGGGCCCCAUUCUAAAUGAGCAGGUGGUCGUUGCAAGCCUCGUUCGUUGCUGUUCGUCAAGCCAGACAGUCUGGCACAUGCAAUCAAUUCCCUUGGCAACUUAGGCAGGGAUUGUCUGAACUCUGUCUGAACUCCUGCUGUUGCCCUGGAAACCCCAAUCUAAACCCAAUUUAGUUUGAUAAGCAGGUCUUCCUUUCAAGUGUGGAGCUCCAAAUUUGUUACAAGGGAGCAAAGAGGAGGGGGGAGGGGCCUCCCAGCUCUGACUUUGCAGACAGUGGAGAGACAGUUUUUGUUGGCAUUUUGAUACAGAGAGUGCUUUAGAGCUUGAAUUUUCUUUGUGUGUGGUGGGAUAUGGAUCUACCCCUUCAAGUUCCAGGGCUGCUGCCAGGUUCUGGGCCAAGCUAUUAUUUAUUAUUGGUACCUUUCCUGGUGCUUGCUCAGGUAAGGUUUCUGGGAGUGAUGCAGUAGGGAUCUUGACCAAAUUUGGAUGAUGGCUGGAGAGCUUGCUGGCCCUCACGAACAGCCAAAUAAGAACAUGUUCGUGAACAGGGCCAUGUUCGUGGUUGUUUGUGAGUCCCUGUUCAUGGAUGGCAACGAACAACGAACAUCAUGUUCGGGGUUUUUUUUCUGUUCGUGCCUAUCUCUACCCAGAAGCAACCGCAUUGCAGCAGGGCUGAUUCUUUUGGAAUUGGCCCAAAAUAUAGCAAAAACUGCUAUUGUGCAAUGACUUUUCUACCAGGUCAGACCAAAAAUGACAUCAUCAACCAGUGCCAUGAUGCUCGUAGAUUUGGCAAACCCUAACAAAGCUGCAUAAGCCAUGCUAGAUGGUUUUAGAAAAGUCUCCACUGCUGUAUUCCCUGAACAAUACAGCAGUGGAGGCUUUUCUAAAAGCAAGCAAGGCAGAAGCCUGCCUUACCUUCUCUGGGAGUUUAUUGCAAAGUAAAGAAACAAUAAAGAAACAAUUACAAAGAACUUAGCUGUCCCCAUCCACUUUCUGUGUACGGAACGUUUCUUAGGAAAACUGCAUUCUAUCCAGAUUCACAGCAGAUUUCUAAGGCUCCACAUUCUGAGGACAUGACUAUGGAAUGAGCUAGAAUUUCUUCCAAUCAGUACCAUAUUCUGCUGGGGACAACUACAGCUCCAUAGUUUAAUCAGACACUAAGUAAAUUUAGUAGAUAAAAUCUGACCAUUCCAUCUCAAAAUUACUCUUGUGCUGGAAAUGUAGGGAAUGUGGUUUGGGAGACUUUGUGUUGUCAAGGGGCAAUGAUUCUUUGGGAUUUGAAGAUAAUAAACACACAAGUGUUGGAGGGAAAUAGAUUUAUUAAAUUCCUCCAAUAAUUCACAGGAAAUAAAUGAACAAGUACAGAAUGGACAAUAUGCUUAUGCCCCUGUACUGCUGUCAGGAACCCCCAGGCACAACGAGUGGACCCCCGGUUCUAGCUGAUUAAGCAGUGCUGCUUACACAGUGCAGCAUAAGGUGAGGUUCACCAGGGGGUGGUCUCUGAGACAUAGAUAGAUUUUGAGUUAUGUGGCUUCUUUCUCCAGUACCAGGUCCAUAGUUUAAACCUUCCCCUCCCAAAAGUAAUAACAGGGUACUGUGUUUAGAUAAAAAGGAUAUUAAGAUGAAAAACAUGUUUUAAAGAGAAAAAUAUCUUAUGUUGCCAAAACUUGCUUCUAGGCAAGUGAGCAUAGAUAUGCAGUCUAGAAGAUGGAAUCAUAUACCAACUGCCAUUCCAAAGUCAACAAAUGGAAUAAGAUCUAAGACACAGCAGCUGAGAGCUAAUACCCUGGAGAUGAAAAGAAGUUAUUAUUGUAUUAUUAUUAAAAUGUUUUAAGCUGCUUUGAAGACCAUAUGGUUGGUAACUAGGAUAUAAAGGGGAGGGGUACAGAAUGGUAUGCUAGAUCUAAUAGUAAUACCUCCCCUGGUUCUUCCCCUGACAUCACCCAAUUGAUGCACUAUUACCAGACUAGAGAAGGACGGACCAGGGAGACAAAAUUCCAGGUCCCCAUUCAUCCAAGGUGCUGAUGGAGCCAGGUAAUUUAUAUGAUUUGUUUUCAUGUGGGAUGGCUCUGGUUGGUGUGGUGGGCCCAACUAUUAUUUCAUUUUUAAUUAAUCUUACCUGAAUUAGCAAGAAGUAUCCAUAAAAUGACAGAAAAGAGCAGCCCAAAGACCUUCAUGUUAACUUUCUGAGAACCCAGCCAGAGUUGAAAGGUUCUCCGUUUCAAUGAAACCAGCCAAUGGAUGGAAGUUCUGAAUGGAUUCCAGAGACAAUGGUCCAUUGAAUGAGGGAGAAUCAGCGAAUUGUGGAUUGAGUGUCCCCUUAUCCAAAUCAUCAUACAGAGUCCAAUAGUGUUGGUAAAUCAGGAAUUGAAAACACUAGCAAACCCAAUGGCAGCUUCUUGGGGACUCUGCACAAGAUGGAGGGCAAGUUUAAAUUAUUUGCACUGUUCUGAUUGUAAUUAAUAAAGACUGGUUUAAUCUA